UUACACUUGGCCCAACCCAUUUAUUCAACCUAAAUAUAUAAGUGAGUGUGUUAUAAUAAAAACCCUAAAACCAUAGAGACACAUUCAGCAGCCGACAUCAUCUUUCAGCCCUCUGGUUUCUCUGUCCGAUCAUCGGCGACCGGUACCGGUUACGGCCGGCUACCGGCGUCCCGUGCUUGCUCGCAUGUCGCCACACAACCCCAAGCUCCGUCUUCAUCUUAACUCGCCGCACAUACGCUGCCCUGUCCAGAGAGAGAGAGAGAGAGAGAGAGAGAUCGGAGAACGGGAGAGAUCGGAGAUCGGAGCACAUACGCGGCGACUUUAAUUCCUUCCGACAAGUUCACCGGUAAAACAUGGUGGUGUUCUUGAUGAAAUAAUCCAAUCAUUGCAACAUCAAGUUGAGGUUUAAUUUGGCCGGUCUGACAUCAAAGGUCAAGGGUUUGAAUGUUCAUGUCUUCUCUCAACAUAAACUUUGUGAGUAUUCUUUUUCAGUUUUAUAUCAUGUUUUGCACCUGUAGGUUUAGUGUAAUUUCCCAAUUGCCCUUUAUAUAUUAUCCUUACAUGAAUAUAGGCAACAACACCUGAGUACAAGGCGUACCGAGAAAGUCAUGAGUAAUAGUGCCACAUUUGUAGAGAUGAAGACUCGAGAUCUUUUGGACAAUUUGGUCCUUUGAAGGGCAGUUACUCGCAGAGAAUAGCUACAUAGUGCGAGAGGGAGAUCCGGUAGAUGAGAUGCUGUUUAUAAUGCGCGGAGACUUGCUAACUGUGACUACAAAUGGUGGAAGAAGGGGCUUCUUUAACUCUAGUAACCUCAAGGCAGGUGACUUUUGUGGAGAUGAGCUACUCACAUGGGCUUUGGAUCCAAACCUGUCUUCGACUCUCCCCCUCUCAACGACAACUGUGAGAGUGAUUACAGAUGUCGAAGCGUUUUCACUUAAAGCUAAUGACCUCAAGAUUGUAGCCUACCAGUUCAGGAGACUACACAGCAAGCGCUUCCAGCAUACGUUUCGGUACUACUCGCAACAUUGGAGGACAUGGGGAGCUUGUUUUAUACAGGCUGCUUGGCGUAGACAUCGUGGGAGGCAGAAGUCCAGGAUGCAGUAGCACACACUGCCACCGGUACCUCCCCAUGUCUUGGUG